rnacentral:lncRNA from 1 species
UUUCUACAAGGUCAAUUUGCCUUAGAAACAACCGGUGACAAAAGCCCCAAUUUUUGGUGCCCUAACAACACCAAGAUCAAAUCUCUUGGGAUUGAUCUCAUAGCUAAGCAUAAUCGAGCUUAGAAUCACCCAAGAAGNUAUCCUUUACACAACCUAAGUUAUUACUUUAGGUUUAUUGCUUUCACAUUCUUAACCUAGGUUUACUACACUAGGAUCAUUAUUCCUUUCCAACCUAGGUUCACUUGACUCUAGGUUAAGCAGCUUUCCUUUCACAACCUAUGUUCUUUACAUUAGGUUUAACAUCACUCUUAGUUAACCUAUGUUCUUUACAUUAGGUUUUAUGCCACUCGAUCUAUAGGUUGAUUCAUGUCCACCUAUAUAUAUUCCUUAUUUAGCAUUCUCAACAUGUACUUGCACGUACUAUUCUUAUAUCAUGCUUAUCACUUAUACUUUAGCAUAGCAUCAUUUACUUAAUCAUUCUAGGGUUAUCAACCUAGUUUCCAUGCACAUUUAAUCUCACGAUGUCAACAUGCAUUCUAUCCAUCAUGCUCACAUGCAUUCAUGUAAUUAUGUAGCAUUAUAUAACUUGUUCAUUAUGCAUUCUAUAUCUCAUCUUAACUUAUGUCAUCAAUAUGCAUUUCAUUCUAUGCAUUAUGCUUACAUGCACCCUUCUAGUUUACAUGCAUAUAUAUAUAUAUAAUCUUUUAUAUGCAUCUACUUUAGCAUUUACAUCAUAUCAUGCAUUACUAGCAUUACUUUAUCAUCAUGCAUCACUAGCAUUAUGCAACUUGCUCACUAUGCAUUUCCACUUGGCAUUUACAUUAACAUGCAUUGUUUAACACUUAUAUGCAUCAACACGAAUUCUUAAUUCGCUUAGACAUAAAGGCGACCUAGUCGCUUCGGUAAACCAACCCACCUUAACACGCGCUCCGAUUGCUUGUAGUCACUUGCAAUCGGCCUCCCGCGGCAACCGUUGCCCGGUUUGGCCCGAACUCUUGCGCGACUUCCAAACGACCUCCGAACCGCGAUCCGUCUUUUCCGGAGUUUAUUCCUUGACUCCAAGGUGCUCCAGUUCCGAUCUCAUGAUUUUUAGACCUUUAUUCCGCAUGCUGCGGCUAUUUGUACCAAAACCGACCGUUUCAUCAAUAAUUUCGCGUACGCUCGUCGGAUUGUCGAACCGAGCGCACCAACGCGUUCGUUAGGUCCCCAAUUAGGUUUCUACAAGGCCAAUUUGCCUUAGAAACACCCGGAGGCAAAAGCCCCAAUUUCGGUGCCCUAACAACGCUAUAAUCAAAUUUCUUGGGAUUGAUCUCAUAGCUAAGCAUAAUCGAGCUUAAAAUCACCCAAGAAGUUCUCUAAACUCGUUUCUAUCUCAUUAGAAUCAUCCCUAGGGCAUUUAGAACAAACCCUAGGAUUCCACCAUUAGAGCACUUUGAGGAACACUUGAAUUUCAUGUGUUCUCUUGCCUAAUGCAAGGUUCUAAAACUUGUAGGGAGAUCAAAACCAAGAUCUAGGGUUCAAAACCCAAACCCUAACCCUAGGUUUGCAUCAAUGGUGCAAUCCAUGGUUCAAAGCUUCAAUAUGAGCUAGAACCAUCUUCUCCAACUCAAAUGGGUUCCAUUUGAACCACUCAAAAGCAACCAAAAACCCUAAACCCUAGAAAUGCCAUUUUAGGGUUAGAGCUUACCUCUAAAAGAGCUCCAAUGGCUCAAGGAAGAUGAAGGAGAGGAUGAAGAUCUCCCUCUAGAUCUUCUUCUCCAUCUUCUCCAACUUCUUCUUCUUCUUUUCCUUUCUCCCUUUCUCUUUUCUUCUUCUCUUCUCCUUGCACGGCUAGAGAGAGAGAGGGAUGUAAGAGAGGGAGAGAGAGGCAGUGAAAUGGGAGGGGAAAUGGCUGAGAGGGGUGUGUUAACCCUCUAAUGUAACAAAAUCCCGAAAGCCCCCUCCAUUUUCUAUUUUUCCAAAGCAGACCUGCUGCUUCUGGCUCCUUGUACCGGUACACGGUUUCUUGUACCGGUACAAGGCCUGGCAGACAGCCAAACCGAGAGCUCGGUUUCUCGGUUUCGCAGGUCUUGUACCGGUACAAGGAUCCUUGUACCGGUACAGGGUCUGGCAGCUCCAACCCGAGAGCUCCAGAAUGCUAUUUUUUGUUCCGUUUCGGCUCCACUUCGCGCCGAACGAUGCCAAAACCCUUCCAACUCUUUUAGAGCUUACUUUUAACCCUUCCAACAGUGUUGGAAUGUUAAUUGAUCACGUCCAACCAAUCCCUUCGAGUACUUUAGUCAAUUUGGCUAAAGUCCAC